GGGCCGUUAGCUCAGUCGGUAGAGCAGCUGGCUUUUAACCAGUUGGUCGCUGGUUCGAAUCCAGCACGGCCCACCA
rnacentral:tRNA from 1 species